GAUGCCUGUACCCGAAACCGACACAGGUAGGUAGGUAGAGUAUACCAAGGGGCGCGAGAUAACUCCCUCUAAGGAACUCGGCAAAAUUACCUCGUAACUUCGGAAGAAGAGGUACCCUUGCAAAAGGGUUGCAAUAAAUAGACCCUGGCGACUGUUUACCAAAAACACAGGUCUCCGCUAAUUCGUAAGAUUAAGUAUGGGGGCUGACGCCUGCCCAGUGCCGGAAGGUUAAGGAAGUUGGUUAGUUUUUGACGAAGCUGGCGACCGAAGCCCCGGUGAACGGCGGCCGUAACAAUAACGGUCCUAAGGUAGCGAAAUUCCUUGUCGGGUAAGUUCCGACCCGCACGAAAGGCGUAACGAUCAGGGUGCUGUCUCGGAGAGAGGCUCGGCGAAAUAGACAUGUCUGUGAAGAUGCGGACUACCUGCACCUGGACAGAAAGACCCUAUGAAGCUUUACUGUAUCUUGGAAUUGGGUUUGGGCUUUGCUUGCGCAGGAUAGGUGGGAGGCUUUGAAGAUAUUCUUGCGGGAAUGUUGGAGCCAAUGGUGAGAUACCACUCUAGUAAGGCCAAAAUUCUAACUUCGAACCGUUAUCCGGUCGGGGAACAGUUUCAGGUGGGCAGUUUGACUGGGGCGGUCGCCUCCUAAAAGGUAACGGAGGCGUGCAAAGGUUCCCUCAGGCUGGUCGGACAUCAGUCGUAGAGUGUAAAGGCAUAAGGGAGCUUGACUGCGAGGCCUACAAGUCGAGCAGAGACAAAAGUCGGCCUUAGUGAUCCGACGGUUCCGAGUGGAAGGGCCGUCGCUCAACGGAUAAAAGUUACUCUAGGAUAACAGGCUGAUCUCCCCCAAGAGUUCACAUCGACGGGGAGGUUUGGCACCUCGAUGUCGGCUCAUCGCAUCCUGGGGCGGUAGUACGUCCCAAGGGUUGGGCUGUUCGCCCAUGAAAGCGGUACGCGAGCUGGGUUCAGAACGUCGUGAGACAGUUCGGUCCAUAUCCGGUGCAGGCGUUAGAGUAUUGCGAGGAGUUCCCCUUAGUACGAGAGGACCGGGGGAAAUACACCGCUGGUGUACCAGUUAUCGUGCCAACGGUAAACGCUGGGUAGCCAAGUGUAGAGUGGAUAACUGCUGAAAGCAUCUAAGUAGGAAGCCCACCUCAAGAUGAGUACUCUCACCACUAUAAGUGGGUAAGAUCACGGCAAGAACAGCCGUUAUAUAGGCACUAAGUGUAAGUACAGUAAUGUAUUUAGCUGAGGUGUACUAACAGAUCGAGGGCUUGAU
rnacentral:rRNA from 1 species